GAGGGUAGAGCUCAGUGGUAGAGUGCAUGCUUAGCAUGCACAAAGUCCUGGGUUCAAUCCCCAGCACCUCCA
rnacentral:tRNA from 1 species